GAUGAACGCUAGCGGCAGGCCUAACACAUGCAAGUCGAGGGGUAUUAGGAGCUUGCUCCUAAGAGACCGGCGCACGGGUGCGUAACGCGUAUGCAAUCUACCUUUACAGGGGAAUAGCCCAGAGAAAUUUGGAUUAAUGCCCCAUGGUAUAUAUGAAUCGCAUGGUUUAUAUAUUAAAGUUCCAACGGUAAAAGAUGAGCAUGCGUCCCAUUAGUUAGUUGGUAAGGUAACGGCUUACCAAGACGAUGAUGGGUAGGGGUCCUGAGAGGGAGAUCCCCCCACACUGGUACUGAGACACGGACCAGACUCCUACGGGAGGCAGCAGUGAGGAAUAUUGGACAAUGGGCGCAAGCCUGAUCCAGCCAUGCCGCGUGCAGGAAGAAGCAUCUAUGGUGUGUAAACUGCUUUUGUACGGGAAGAAACAUCACUACGUGUAGUGACUUGACGGUACCGUAAGAAUAAGGAUCGGCUAACUCCGUG
rnacentral:rRNA from 1 species